rnacentral:rRNA from 1 species
UACGAAGGGGGCUAGCGUUGCUCGGAAUCACUGGGCGUAAAGCGCACGUAGGCGGAUCUUUAAGUCAGGGGUGAAAUCCUGGAGCUCAACUCCAGAACUGCCUUUGAUACUGGGGAUCUCGAGUCCGGAAGAGGUGAGUGGAACUCCGAGUGUAGAGGUGAAAUUCGUAGAUAUUCGGAAGAACACCAGUGGCGAAGGCGGCUCACUGGACUGGUAUUGACGCUGAGGUGCGAAAGCGUGGGAGCAAACAGG